rnacentral:lncRNA from 1 species
UCCCCAGUUGCCCCUCCAGGCAGCAUCCCCGCGGCACCCACUUGAGAAUGCUCAGCGGCCGGCGCCCAGUUACCAGCCCCGCAACAUUGUCACAGCCGCUGAGCCGGCCUGCGACGCGGAGAGGAGGUGGCGCUGCAGCCAGAGCCGGGGCCGCGAUCGGCGCCCGCCAGCCAGCUGAUCCCCCGUGCGCCCGGCGGAGACUGACCCGCCGCCCCUCCCCCGCGCGCGCUCCCGCCCGGCUCCAUCCACCCAACCAGGAAGUGAACCGCCGCCGGAAGUGCCUCUUGGAGCGGUGCGGCCCGGCCCCGGGGCCGCUCCCGCGACCGCCACUCUGUAGCGACAAACGGGAAGGAGCCGAUGGCGAGAAGAGGACCGGGAAAGGGGGUCUGGGAGUUAGGGGUCUCAGUACAGAGAGAGUCUUGGAAAAGAACGUUGCUAUGGUCCGGGCGCAGCACAUCCUGGGAAAGGUAGUUCAGCGCAGCCGGGGUGACUGUACUACAACUCCCAGAAUGCUCCUGGAAGAGCGGGAGCGGCGUCAGCCUCGGCCUCUACGGCCUGGAAGGUGAUUAGUGGGGUGGUGCAUAAGUGGCGAUUCGGUUAUUUAAACACAUCCGGUAAAGAAACUGCAAGGGACUAGGUUUUACCCCUCCUGCGUGUUCCACCCUUCUGGAGCCAUCUUAUUUGUGUCCUGGUCUUCUGGCACAAGGAACGCUGGGGAUUGUGGUUUCCAAACGCAUCAAGGCUGACACCUGAAGGACGCAGCUUAACCAUUUUGCCCCAGAUUGGUCCUUAGGGGCAUCGCCACGUCACAUGAGGACAAGGAGGACGAGAGAGGGGAUGGCAACAUUGUGCUGACCGCUGGUUCGGGCCACACCGGAACGCCGGCCCUAAAAGAAAGAAAAUCCGUGCCUUUUCACCCCCCAAUCUCGAAGCUGCUUUUUUGCUCGAAGGUGAUGCAGAGUCAACUCUGUCUUUAUCCCUGAGCUAGGCGCUGUGAGAACGCCAGGAAGACAGUGUCUGGUCCGGAAAUCUACGGACGAGAUACCGACCGACAAACUGCCGAAGACUUUGUGUAGGGCAGAUCCCAAGGGGACCAGGAGACAGCCCGUUGGCUCGACCUCAAACUUUGGGGCUUGUCAUCCUACAGUGACCUUUAAUUCUUCCACCUUUGUUGACGCUAUGGGUGGACCUAAUCCUCACUGACCCCCUUCCACACGAGAACCCUAAGCAGACCUGUUAUUUCUUUAAUUCGCUUCAAGAUUCUUCCCUUGAUGUUUUACCCAGAUAUCGCCUAAGGGGUAGGGGGAGAUGAUUUGCAUCUGUCAAAGGUGGAAGAUUGGAACGCGGUUGGUACCCAUAGAUCUUCUGGUAGAUGAUGCUGAAGGUAGUACUAAAUUCCUGCCCCCCCCAAUCGAUAAUUUUUCUAGUACCUGAAUAUAAGUUACUGGUCACGUCCACCAGCUCUCCCCACUCGCUAAUGCUGUGACAGCCUUGUUGGCUUGUAAUUCAUCCCAGAAUUUCUUCAGCAAGCAUUUAAAGAGAAUAGAAAAAGGUGCCCCAGGAGAAAAUGGUUCUUGUUUUCUCUAAUCUCAAUAUUCAGCUGAGCUGGGCUGGGCUAGUGGUGGCGGUGUAGCUACCGUUGCGGCUUCUUGUUUCAAGUAGUGCCAUUGUAAUUAAACUCCCUGUAUAGAUAGCAUCUUUUCUUCCGGAGUCACAACGUUGCCACCGCAGUUCACAAAUUCAUGCAGCCCCCUCCAGGGUGAAAUGCAGCACCUACUAAAACAUUCCUUCAAAGGAAGCCCACAGAGGCAUGUUCUCUGCACCUUCCUUAAAAGGCUAGAUUUUUGUCUAAGGAAGUUUGAAAUAGCUCUUAAAAUAGAUGAGAAAGCUCAUUUGGUAUUGAGCUCAUUGACCCCCAUCUUUCUCAGCACGUGUUAGUCUUGACUGAUUUUUUUAAAAGAUCUGUCAGGUCAUAUAUCCAUUAGGUCCUGUUGCUGUAUCAUGGUUUUUUUGGUUGUUUGUUUUGGGGUUUUUUUUGGAGGGGGGAGUGGUUCCUAGUAUUCGAUCAAGGCCAGAUUUGCAUGAAUUUCAAGUCUCACUUCAGGAAUACAAAAACUUCCAAUAAUAUUAACGUAGCUAACAUGUAUUUAUUGUAUACCCACCUGGAUACUUUGAACAGAAUCUGAGGAGGGAGAUUUUAAAAUAAAUUUUUAAAAGCAGAAGACUGGCUUCCUUUCCUUCCAUUCUCUGAGAC